rnacentral:rRNA from 1 species
CCAGAAUAAAAGUAGUUAAGUUCUUCAUAACUCAAAGAAUUUGGCGGUUGAUAAAAAUUUCAGAGGAACCUGUAUGUUAAUUGAUAAACCACGAUAAUAUCUAUCUUUAUGUUUAUUUGUAUAUCUCUAUAUAAGGGGAAUGUUUUUUCAGGACUAUUUUCUUUUAGACAAAAUCUUUAAUUUUAGGUCAAGGUGCAGUUUUAUAAAGGUUUAUAUGGGUUACUUAAAUUUUUAUUUAUUAUUUUAUUCUUGGGGAAUUUAUUUAGGAUUUGAUAGUAAUUUAAAUUAAUUAAUUCUUUUGAAUUGU